AGGUUAAGUGAAUAAGGGCGCACGGAGGAUGCCUUGGCACUAGGAGUCGAAGAAGGACGCGACAAACGGCGAAACGCCUCGGGGAGCUGUAAGUGAGCUUUGAUCCGGGGAUAUCCGAAUGGGGAAACCCGCUAGUGGUUAUACGCUAGCACCAUAUGGUGAAUACAUAGCCAUAUAGGAGACAGACCCAGGGAACUGAAACAUCUAAGUACCUGGAGGAAAAGAAAGAAAAAUCGAUUCCCGUAGUAGCGGCGAGCGAAGUGGGAAGAGCCCAAACCGGCACUAGCCGGGGUUGUAGGACCUUCAUAAUUGACAAAUCAUGAUAGCCGAGUGGUCUGGGAAGGCCAACCGGAGAGGGUGAGAGUCCCGUAGGUGAAAUUGUGAAAUGCAUGGAAGGAAUCCUGAGUACGGCGGGACACGUGGAAUCCCGUCGGAAUCAACGAGGACCAUCUCGUAAGGCUAAAUACUACCUAGUGACCGAUAGUGAACCAGUACCGUGAGGGAAAGGUGAAAAGAACCCCGGAAGGGGAGUGAAAGAGAACCUGAAACCGUGUGCCUACAAAUAGUCAGAGCCCGUUAAUGGGUGAUGGCGUGCCUUUUGUAGAAUGAACCGGCGAGUUACGAUAUCGUGCGAGGUUAAGCAGAAGAUGCGGAGCCGUAGCGAAAGCGAGUCUGAAUAGGGCGAAGAGUACGAUGUUGUAGACCCGAAACCGUGUGAGCUAGCCAUGAGCAGGCUGAAGGUCAGGUAACACUGACUGGAGGGCCGAACCAGGGCACGUUGAAAAGUGCUUGGAUGACUUGUGGCUAGGGGUGAAAUUCCAAUCGAACACGGAUAUAGCUGGUUCUCUCCGAAAUAGCUUUAGGGCUAGCCUCGAUGGCAAGUCUACUGGAGGUAGAGCACUGAAUGGGUGAUGGCCCCACCUCGGGGUACUGAUCUCAAUCAAACUCCGAAUGCCAGAUAGAUAUCAUCGGGAGUCAGACUGUGGGUGAUAAGGUCCAUGGUCAAAAGGGAAAGAGCCCAGACCGCCAGCUAAGGCCCCCAAGUGUCCGUUAAGUGGAAAAGGAUGUGGAGAUGCACAGACAACUAGGAGGUUGGCUUAGAAGCAGCCAUCCUUUAAAGAGUGCGUAAUAGCUCACUAGUCGAGUGACUCUGCGCCGAAAAUGUACCGGGGCUAAACGGACCGCCGAAGCUGCGGAUUGACACUUAGGUGUCAGUGGUAGGAGAGCGUUCUAACAGCGGAGAAGCAGUACCGGAAGGAGCUGUGGAGCGGUUAGAAGUGAGAAUGCCGGUGUGAGUAGCGAAAGAUAGGUGAGAAUCCUAUCCAUCGAAAGCCUAAGGUUUCCAGGGGAAGGCUCGUCCGCCCUGGGUAAGUCGGGACCUAAGGUGAGGCCGAAAGGCGUAGCCGAUGGACAACAGGUUGAUAUUCCUGUACCACUUAUUAAACUGAUGGAGUGACGGAGAAGGCUAAGUUGAGCGUGUUAAUGGAUUCACGUGUAAGCAGUGAGGUGGUCAUGUAGGCAAAUCCGCAUGGCAUAACAUUGAGCUGUGAUGCCGAAGCCGUAUGGCGAAGUCAACUGAUGUCACGCUUCCAAGAAAAGCUUCUAGGGUUAAUUUAGUAAGUGCCCGUACCGAUAACCGACACAGGUAGGCGAGGAGAGAAUCCUAAGAUGAGCGAGAGAACUCUUGUUAAGGAACUCGGCAAAAUGACCCCGUAACUUCGGGAGAAGGGGUGCUUGUGAAAGCAAGCCGCAGUGAAUAGGCCCAGGCGACUGUUUAUCAAAAACACAGGUCUCUGCUAAACCGCAAGGUGAUGUAUAGGGGCUGACGCCUGCCCGGUGCUGGAAGGUUAAGAGGAGAGGUUAGCGCAAGCGAAGCUUUGAAUUGAAGCCCCAGUAAACGGCGGCCGUAACUAUAACGGUCCUAAGGUAGCGAAAUUCCUUGUC
rnacentral:rRNA from 1 species